CACUGGCCGUGCGUGCGGCCGGCUGCGUCGGGCUGCAGGAGAAGAUGGCGGUCUCCACAGACAAAUUAUGAAAACAGAAUAUAUAGCCUGAAAGUAGAAUGUGGACCUAAAUACCCAGAAGCUCCUCCAUCAGUUAGAUUUGUAACAAAGAUUAAUAUGAAUGGAAUAAAUAAUUCCAGUGGGAUGGUGGAUGCACGGAGCAUACCAGUGUUAGCAAAAUGGCAAAAUUCAUAUAGCAUUAAAGUUGUACUCCAGGAGCUAAGACGUCUAAUGAUGUCCAAAGAAAAUAUGAAGCUUCCACAGCCUCCAGAAGGACAAACAUACAAUAAUUAAUUUUAGUGGAUCUCAAACUUGUCUUAAAUCAGCAACCUUUUACUCAUGUUAAUGUCUUGAUUAAAUAUCACAAUGCGAAAUACCCACACAUUAAGUAAAAGAAUUCCAGCUGGUAAACAUGACCUGGACAUUUGUAAGAAUAUAUUUAAUAUAUGUACACCCAUUAUGUUUUCAGGUAACAGGAGGAAAAAUGCGGCGUACUUUUUUUUCUCUUGUUAAGGCACUGUCAUUUAAACAUAAGCCUGGAGUACCCGAAAGAGAAUUCAGGUUGACAAGAUGAAAGCGUAGUGAGAAGUGUCAGCUGGCAGUGGAAGCAUGUGUGUUUCUGAAAAGUAAAAGUCUCAAGAAAGAAAAACAGAAAUGGCAGGCUUUAUCCAUCUUGCUUAGUGAAAGAGCUGCAGUUGAAAUUGUUUAAAGUAGCAGGUAUAAUGAAUAUCGUCAUAAAUGUUAAUUUUUGAAGCGGUAUGGGUGCUGACUACUAGUAGUAUCAAAAAUAUGUUCAGGAUUGUUUUGAUACCUGUAUUUAUAAUAAAAAAUGUUGGGGGGAUUGAUGAAUUUCUGUUAAAAGCUAUUCCUGUGUGUUACAUGUAACAGACAUGGUAAAUAUUUGUUUACAGUCUUUGUUUAACAAACCAUGCGUUUAAGUUUAAGUGAAGUAAACAUAAAGGAAAUAGGUGUAUGGAUAUGUGAUUUUGAGAUUAAAGUUAGUCUUAAAAUGUAAAUAAAAUGUGGAAUGUGUCCUCA